rnacentral:misc_RNA from 1 species
GAUGAAGAACGCAGCGAAAUGCGAUACGUAAUGUGAAUUGCAAAUUCAGUGAAUCAUCGAGUCUUUGAACGCACAUUGCGCCCCCUGGUAUUCCGGGAGGCAUGCCUGUUCGAGCGUCACUAAAAUCAACUCAAGCGCUUUUGCAUGGUCAUGGAGGAAGAGUCCGUCUUGUUGCGGUCUCCCCGCCGAAAAUCAACGGCGGAAAGUCACUGGUACCCGGCGUAGUAGAAUCUGUUCGCUGUUCGGCCAGUGUCGUUCCUGCCGGCAAACCCCCCACAAUUCUCUUGAUUGACCUCGGAUCAGGUAGGGAUACCCGCUGAACUUAAGCAUAUCAAUAAGCGGAGGA